GUGCUUUAUUUUUCUGGUUUGGGUGCCUGCCCAUAAGACGAGGUGGCAAUCCUCGCCGGGUUGGGCUAAGACGUCUGGUUGGUCUGGGAAGCCUAGGCGCCGGCUGUCAGACGCGGCGAAAGCUGCGCAGGUCCGGCACUUGCCCCUCGCGGCGUCGAGAAGCGGCAAGUUGGUAUUGGUCUGGUAUUUAUUCUGGUAUUUAUUCUGGUAUUUAUUUUGCUGUGUGAGUGAGAGUAUGUGGUAUGAUUGAUUUGUUGAACUGUCAAUAUUGACUGGAGUUAUUAUUGUUUUGUACGCUGCUGCAUAUUAGUUGUUGUUGAGUUGUUGUACAGCUGUAGGUGAAACCGGUUCAAAAUGCCAUUUAGAGCUCUUAAGUCUAUGGUUCAGUUUUCUAAGGGUAUACCUGAAAAUACUCCGUUAGGAUGUUUAAUGAAAAGGUGGAAGAGUGAAAGGUUUUUCCAAGAGAUGAAUAAAGACAAAAUGAUUGAAUAUUGGUGGCCAGAAUAUGAGCGAGAGGGGCCGGCAUGGCCAGAAAAUGGUACUGUGGAUUAUGAUACCCUGAAUUCACUAAUGCAGUAUUUAAAGGAAAAUGAAAAAUGGGAUGAAGUACAGUAUUUGGACUUGUUUUAUUUACUGCGCAGUAAAAAGGAGUGGCAGACUGAAUGUGGAAUAAUGGUAUUGGAGAUGAAAGGAUCUGGGUGCGGGGGCUGUAAAGGGAGAUCUAAAUGUGUCCAGUGCUUAGCCUUAACCUCUCGACCAGAGGAAGAUUUGUCUUUACUGGUGUCACCCGGAGCGCCGUCCGCCCCACCCUCCCCUGCUGCCUCAGCAUCCCCUGCCGCCUCGGUGUCCCCUGCUGCCUCAGCGUCCCCUGCUGUCACCUCCUUCCGCUGUUUCACCCCUCCCCUCUGUUUCACCCUAUUCCUCUUUGUGUCUGCCGUUGCCGGAGAGCAGUGCAGGGGAGGAAGGGGAGGGGGGGGAGGACAAAGGAGGCAAACAUAACAGUAGUACCAGGGAAUGCUAAAAAAGUUGUUGUGCGUCCCCCAACCCCUUCCCCUGUUUCUCCCCAAAAUCGGCGAAAUACUCCACUUGCGGCACGAACUAGACAAGGACGUAAGAAUCCCAGGGAACCCCAGCUUAUUGCUCCCUUAAGGGAAGCUAUGGGACCCCAAGGAGAGAAGGUGCUUGUGAAAGUGCCUUUCUCCCCAGGAGAUCUGGUGAUUUGGAAACAGUCAGCAGGGAGUUACCGUGAGAAUCCUGAAAGAGUAGCACGGGUGGUUGGGAUGAUUGUUAAAACACAGAAUCCAGAUUGGAUCGAUGUGCAGGUUUUGUUGGACACCCUGGUGGACUCCACCGAAGGGGAGAUGGUGCUGCGGGCAAUGGAGGAGCGUGCUCAGGCUGCAUCCAGGCAGAGGAGCUUUGGGAGACUUGGUGCCCAGUGACGAUCCAGGGAGUCAUCGAGAAAGAAACAAAACGUACCAGAAGAGUGAUGAAAGCCUUGACAAGAACCAACAAGAUGCAACUGUCUCACUUGACUCCUCCGAAAUAUGAAGAUGUCAUUAGGCGAGAGAACUCAGCAUUUGAAAGACCCGAUGACGACUGAGAAUUGAGCAUCCUUGCAGAAGACUGAAGAAUGCUCAAAAGGGGGGAGUUGUUGCCAUUUGAUUAAAAUAAACUGUAUUUAGCUAGUAGAGAACCUUAUAGUUGACAUUAGUAGUAGUAGUCAUGCUAAGGCUUGGUAGGCCGUGUGUAACCUGCAGAUGAACUUUAUGGUGAAACUUGCAAUGUAAGCAGUGUAGCUAAGAGAUAAUCACUUAUCUAAGGCAUGUACUUUUUGGCAGGAACCUAAAUGUCAAGAAGAUAGUAGUACCAGGUGUUAAAAUUAAGUAAGAUUUUGUUGCGAUGAAGGAAUCAUGUAAAGAAACAUAUAAAAACCUGGUGAAAUUUCUGUGAGAUGGGGCUCUGAUCUUGGACGCUAGUCCACGGCUCCCAGGGCCCUCAAUAAAGCACCGCAUAAACGACUUUGGUUGUUUGUGUUUUCUUCGGAUCGGGCAACACAACCUGACACUCUGUUGUCAGGGUGUUGGAAGCAGUCCAAAUAAGUCUUCCUGGAGUAACAGCUCUUGUUCUGUGAAGUAGAGAUGAUCCUGUAGAAAAAAGGGUCCAGUGCUGACGAGAUGGGUCUGGUCUUCCUCCAAAAAUUCAGUAGAAAGCCGGCUGAAUCAGUGUUUAGGAUCGCAGGUUUUAUGCUGGUUGAAAGCUUUGGCUGCUCCUACUGGGUGGAGCAUCUCACAAUGGAAUGAAGUAAUGUUAUCAGUCAUGUGAGAGGCCUUAAAUGGCCCAUUCACAGGUGAUGUCCCUCGGAGGAGGAUGGGUGGAGGAAGAGAUAAGAAGGCAUUGCCUUAUCUGGUGUUAUCAGUUGUCCCA